GACGAACGCUGGCGGUGUGCUUAACACAUGCAAGUCGAACGGUAAGGCCCUUUCGGGGGUACACGAGUGGCGAACGGGUGAGUAACACGUGAGUAACCUGCCCUCAUCUCUGGGUUAACAGUCGGAAACGGUUGCUAAUACUGGAUAUGAGCUUGCAAGGCAUCUUGUGGGUUGGAAAGAUUUUUUUUGGUUGGGGAUGGACUCGCGGCCUAUCAGCUUGUUGGUGAGGUAGUGGGUCACCAAGGCUUCGACGGGGAGCCGGCCUGAGAGGGCGACCGGCCACAUUGGGACUGAGAGACGGCCCAAACUCCUACGGGGGGCAGCAGUGGGGAAUAUUGCACAAUGUACGGAAGACUGAUGCAGCAACGCCGCGUGCGGGAUGACGGCCUUCGGGUUGUAAACCGCGUUCAAGUGUGACGAAGCUUUUUUGUGACGGUAGCAGUAGAAGAAGCACCGGCUAACUACGUG
rnacentral:rRNA from 1 species